GGAUCGAACCCAGGCCCCCUGCAUUGGGAUCACAGAGUCUUACCCACUGGACCACCAGGGAAGUCCGUGAUAUUUUAAUUUGUAUUUCCUCAUUGAAACAACAGUUGCUUAGUUAAGUACAUUGUUUACAAAUAGAAAAGCUUUUAAUUUUUUGCUGUUAUUAUUUAAAUUUUUAUUGUGUUAUAUUCAGAGAUUGUUUCAAACUCCCUCCAUUUUUAUACUUAUAUUGUAAUCACAGAAAAUUUCUUCUCCAUUCAUUUCAAAUUGAACCUUACAUCCACUAUUUAGAUUUUUCGUAGGCUCUUAUCUAGAUUGCCACCCUCUAGGUUUUAUCCCAAAUAUCCUUUUUAAUAGAUUCCCUGACACUCCUAGUUUCCCCAAUUUCCUCAUACCAUUCACUUACUCUGCUCUCUCCAAAAUUAUAGUCUCCUUGUUCAGUUUUUAAAUAACUGUUCAAUAUGAUACAUAACUGUUAUAAUAUCUAAAAAUCAUUCAGAUACUUUUCCAUAAAGAAUAAGAAUGGCUGGUUCUAGAUGUAAGGGGAUAGAAGGAAAAUCUGUGAAAUGUUAUGAAGUAAGCAGACUGAGCAUCUAGGAGGGUUGAAUAAUAGUGAAACUCAACUGAAUAUAUGUUAAUUAUACACAUCUCUAUGCACAGCAGGGAAUGAACAGUAUUGGUGGAGACAUCUCUGUUUGAUUGGAUAACUGCUUAAAGAAUUAUUAGGUUUACUCUCCAGGUAUAAGACCAAGAAAUUAUCUCCAGAGGAUAUUUAUGAAAUCAGUUUAUCCCGAUGGAAGAUAAUAGGAGGAAGUAAAACUCCUUGUCUUAAAGGAUCUAUUUUGAGAAAUGAGUGGCAGAGCAAAACAUCAGAAAAUUCAUACAGGCAAGAAACCCUGUGAAUGUAAGGAAUGUGGGAAAACUUUUAGUGCAUGUGGUCAACUUACCUGUCAGGAGAAAAUUCAUACAGGCAAGAAGCCCUGUGAAUGUUAAGGCAUGUGGGAAGGCCUUUAGACUUGAUUUUUACCUCACUGAACACAGAAUAAUACAUACAGGAAGUUCGUAUUAGGAAAUAAACCUGUUAAUGUAACUGUUAACCAAGAAUUCCAAGAACAGAGACCUGGUUGAAGAAAAAAAGGAAAAAAGCGCUUUUAUUUGGGGUUUGUUAGAACUGCAGCCCAAGAAACACAACCCACUCGAAUUGUGUUCUGCUGGACUAUAAAAUGGCGUAGGCUUAAAAAGGUAAAAAACUGCAAAGUUACAUAAAUUGUCAAGAAUUAGGAUGUGAGCUGGCAAGAGGUAAGGGUGCUUGUUAAACAAGGAUGCUUUGGGGUUCACAAUGAUUACAUAAUUGUGUCGGGGGUGGGAGACUUUUAAACUACAAGGUUGCAACUAGCAGCUGCUAGCAAAUACUGUUUUGAAAACAGCUGGUGCUGUCCUUGAGUUUAAUACAAUUCAGAGAAAAUUCAAGUUCUCAGUGAUGCAUGAAUGUGUCUCAGACCAGAUCCUCAGUGUCUGCCAGAUUACAUUUUUGUAUGCCUGAACUAUGAAUUCUCUAUUAUAAUUUCAAUUUGUCAUCAAAAUAAUUGUGGGGAAGUUUUUAAUCAAUGACAUAUACUUAUCAUCAUUGCCUUUACUAUCUGUGUGAUAGUGGGCAACACAUUUACCCUUCUGGGUGUCAUUUAUAAAAUGGUACCCACCUAAAAGUGUGGUUGAUAGUUUAUAACAUGUACAAUUUUGCAAAAACUACCUGGCCAAAAAACUCCUUUGAAUGAAAAAUAGAUAUGAUAAUUUUUAUUAUUAUCAACAUUAUACUUAGUGAGUUUCUUAAUAUAAAGACAUAAUGAAGGUAACAAAUUUAGAAAGCCAUUCAUCACUUAUUGUAUUUCAGGAAAUUCAUCUUUGAUAAAAUCCAUAAGAAUAUAAAGAACAUGUAAAGAUCAAAUGCAGACUUCAUUGCUUAAGUUCUACCAGAAAAUUAGAGCUGAAAAGUAACCCUAAGGAUUUAAUGAGUGUGAGAAUAUUAAGAAUAUAGCUGGUGAAACAUCAGGGAAUGGUGUGAAGGAUUUUACCAAUAAUAUAGAAGUUAAAAGGAUAACAAAGAGCAACCUGCCUAGAAAAUAUUUACUAACUUUAUUAUGAAAAAUUUCUGACAAAAACAUAGAACGCAUUCUGUAAUGAACAUCCAUUUACCCUUCACCUAGAUUUGAAAAUUUACACUUUGUAUAUUUGCUUCAUUUUUCUAUAAAAUAUAAUUUUUGCUGUACCAUUUAAGAAUAAAUUGUAAACAUUGUAUCACUUUACCCUCAAUAAAUCAGUUUGUAUCCUA